rnacentral:rRNA from 1 species
CAGUCGCCGCGGGAAUACGGAGGAUCCGAGCGUUAUCCGGAAUUAUUGGGUUUAAAGGGUGCGUAGGCGGAUAGAUAAGUCAGUGGUGAAAGACGGUGGCUCAACCAUCGCAGUGCCGUUGAUACUGUUUAUCUUGAAUAUGGAUGAGGUAGGCGGAAUGUGGCAAGUAGCGGUGAAAUGCAUAGAUAUUACUUAGAACACCAAUUGCGAAGGCAGGUCACUAAGAUUUAACUGACGCUGAUGGACGAAAGCGUGGGGAGCGAACAGGAUUAGAGACCCCGGUAGUCCCUGUCUCUUAUAC